rnacentral:rRNA from 1 species
AGAGUUUGAUCCUGGCUCAGAGCGAACGCUGGCGGCGUGCUUAACACAUGCAAGUCGAACGCGCAGCAUUCUGUAGCAAUACAGGGUGUGGGCGCGUGGCGAACGGGUGCGUAACACGUGGAUAACCUUCCUUCAGGUGGGGAAUAACCCAGUGAAAAUUGGGCUAAUACCGCAUAACAUGACGAUGCCACAUGGUGUUGUCUUCAAAGCCGCAAGGCGCCAGAAGAGGGAUCCGCGGCCGAUUAGCUUGUUGGCGAGGUAAUGGCUCACCAAGGCAUUGAUCGGUAGCCGGACUGAGAGGUUGGCCGGCCACACUGGAACUGAGACACGGUCCAGACUCCUACGGGAGGCAGCAGUGGGGAAUCUUGCACAAUGGACGAAAGUCUGACGCAGCAACGCCGCGUGGGGGAUGAAGCUUUUCGGAGUGUAAACCCCUUUCGACCCGGAAGAAUGCCCGCAAGGGCUUGACGGUACGGGUAUAAGAAGCCCCGGCUAACUACGUGCCAGCAGCCGCGGUAAUACGUAGGGGGCCAGCGUUGCUCGGAAUUACUGGGCGUAAAGGGUCCGUAGGCGGUGUGGCAAGUCGGGAGUGAAAUCUCUGGGCUUAACCCAGAGGCUGCUUCCGAAACUGCCAUGCUAGAGUGUGAGAGAGGCGAGUGGAAUUACGGGUGUAGCGGUGAAAUGCGUAGAUAUCCGUAGGAACAUCCGAGGCGAAGGCGGCUCGCUGGAUCACAACUGACGCUGAGGGACGAAAGCUAGGGGAGCAAACAGGAUUAGAUACCCUGGUAGUCCUAGCCCUAAACCAUCAGGACUUGGGGUGUGCCCUGUACGGGGCACGUCCCGUAGCUAACGCGUUAAGUCCUGCGCCUGGGGAGUACGGUCGCAAGGCUGAACUCAAAGGAAUUGACGGGGGCCCGCACAAGCGGUGGAACAUGUGCUCAUCGACGCAACGCGAAGAACUUACCUGGGCUGAACCGCACAGGACCAUCUUUGGAAACAGAAAACUUCCCGCAAGGGAACC